GAUGAACGCUGGCGGCGUGCCUAAUACAUGCAAGUCGAGCGAACGGACGAGAAGCUUGCUUCUCUGAUGUUAGCGGCGGACGGGUGAGUAACACGUGGAUAACCUACCUAUAAGACUGGGAUAACUUCGGGAAACCGGAGCUAAUACCGGAUAAUAUUUUGAACCGCAUGGUUCAAAAGUGAAAGACGGUCUUGCUGUCACUUAUAGAUGGAUCCGCGCUGCAUUAGCUAGUUGGUAAGGUAACGGCUUACCAAGGCAACGAUGCAUAGCCGACCUGAGAGGGGGAUCGGCCACACUGGACCUGAGACACGGUCCAGACUCCUACGGGAGGCAGCAGUAGGGAAUCUUCCGCAAGGGGCGAAAGCCUGACGGAGAAACGCCGCGGGAGUGAUGAGGUCUUCGGAUCGUAAAACUCUGUUAUUAGGGAAGAACAUAUGUGUAAGUAACUGUGCACAUCUUGACGGUACCUAAUCAGAAAGCCACGGCUAACUACGUG
rnacentral:rRNA from 1 species